AUGGUGCUAUGACAUUCUUCUCAAUCUUCUACUUUUUUUUUUUUUAACUAGUUUCACAUUCUGCUGAACCGAAUACAACAACCUGCUGCCACUAAUGAGGGAAGUCUUCUCCCCCUGCCUCUCUGUUUUUUCCUUCUCACUCCCAGCUGAGUGGUCCAGCCUUGUCCACCGGGCUGGUACUUGUUGGACCCAACAACCUUACACUAAACUGAUUCGUCUCACAGAAAACUACCCAUAUAUUUUGCUGGAACAGCUUUCUUCUGGGAUAAGGAAGAAGCUCACUGAGAGGAACUGAUCACUGCCAGAGCUGGCACAAGAUUGCGCUGACCUCUUUGUUGACCUUUACUUUGUGAGGAGAUUUCUCCCUGCAAAGCGGCAUGCCAGAAGAGACUCUUCAGACCAGCUCCCCUAUUAGCUCCAAGAAGAGACUGCAGCUUGACUGGAUUUGUGCAACCUAAGAUGGAAGACACUCUUUGGCUGAAGAAGCUGGUUUUGGACACACUUAAGUAUUGAGUACUUGGCUUACAGUUUUCCUUUUCCUUGAUCUUUUUUGUAAAGUACACUGAGAUCCGU